rnacentral:rRNA from 1 species
GAUGAACGCUGGCUACAGGCUUAACACAUGCAAGUCGAGGGGAAACGACGGGGAAGCUUGCUUCCCCGGGCGUCGACCGGCGCACGGGUGAGUAACGCGUAUCCAACCUGCCUCUGACUGAGGGAUAACCCGUCGAAAGUCGGCCUAAUACCUCAUGGUAUCGUCUGCGGGCAUCCAACGACGAUUAAAGAUUUCAUCGGUCAGGGAUGGGGAUGCGUCUGAUUAGCUUGUUGGCGGGGUAACGGCCCACCAAGGCUACGAUCAGUAGGGGUUCUGAGAGGAAGGUCCCCCACAUUGGAACUGAGACACGGUCCAAACUCCUACGGGAGGCAGCAGUGAGGAAUAGUGGUCAAUGGGCGAGAGCCUGAACCAGCCAAGUAGCGUGCAGGAAGACGGCCCUAUGGGUUGUAAACUGCUUUUAUGCGGGGAUAAAGUGAGGGACGUGUCCCUCAUUCCAGGUACCGCAUGAAUAAGGACCGGCUAAUUCCGUG